GGGGAAUAUUGCGCAAUGGGGGAAACCCUGACGCAGCAAUACCGCGUGAGUGAAGAAGGUUUUCGGAUCGUAAAGCUCUGUUAUUGGGGAAGAAAAAAAGACGGUACCCAAGAAGAAGCCCCGGCUAACUUCGUGCCAGCAGCCGCGGUAAUACGAAGGGGGCUAGCGUUGUUCGGAAUUACUGGGCGUAAAGCGUAUGCAGGCGGAUCGUUAAGUCGGGGGUGAAAUCCCGAGGCUCAACCUCGGAACUGCCUUCGAUACUGGCGAUCUUCGAGUCCGGGAGAGGUGAGUGGAACUCCGAGUGUAGAGGUGAAAUUCGUAGAUAUUCGGAAGAACACCAGUGGCGAAGGCGGCUCACUGGCCCGGUACUGACGCUGAGAUACGAAAGCGUGGGGAGCAAACA
rnacentral:rRNA from 2 species